rnacentral:tRNA from 1 species
GGUUCGGAGAGUUCCCGGCAGCCGGGACGCGCGGGUUCGUGCCGGGCGCGAUGUUACCAACGUCGCCGCGGUUCAACCGCACCGGGCGCC